rnacentral:tRNA from 1 species
GGAGAGGUGGCCGAGUGGCUGAAGGCGCGCCCCUGCUAAGGGUGUAUACGUUGACGCGUAUCGAGGGUUCGAAUCCCUCUCUCUCCGCCA